UACAGAGGUCUCAAGCGUUGUUCGGAUUCAUUGGGCGUAAAGGGUGCGUAGGCGGCGCGGAAAGUUGGGUGUGAAAUCCCUCGGCUCAACCGAGGAACUGCGCCCAAAACUACCGUGCUCGAGGAAGAUAGAGGUGAGCGGAACUUACGGUGGAGCGGUGAAAUGCGUUGAUAUCGUAAGGAACACCCGUGGCGAAAGCGGCUCACUGGGUCUUCUCUGACGCUGAUGCACGAAAGCUAGGGGAGCAAACGGG
rnacentral:rRNA from 1 species